GCUUUCACUUUAAUAGAUCGUGCGGCUGCACACGCUUUGGGUCCAUGCAUUUCUCUAAUCGAGCUGUAACACUUGCUGCUGCGGUCCAUGGCUCCAUUCCUUGAAGCCCACGAGACCAGGAACCCUUGGAUUGAGAAAAAACCUUCAAUUGGGAGGAUACUUCUUAUCUCAUUUCUAGGGGCCCAUCCGGGAUUUCUCCACAGCAGAAUGCACUUAAAUAAUUACACCAGCCUUGUCAUGGAUGCUGCUUUGAAGAACAAAGAUGCUCAAGCUGAGCUUUCACUCUCUGUCCACCACUGCUGUUUGCCACUGCCGCAGACACGCGCUGACUUCCAUCCCUUCGGAUCCGGCAGGGUGUCCUCUGUGCUCCUGAUCCAGUGAGGUGCCCAUUGCUGCUCCCGAUCCGACUAAAGGCUUGCCAUUGUUCCUGCAUGGCUAAGUGCCCAGGUGAGGGGAGCCAGUGGCAAACUGUAAGAUGUGCCACUGAGAUCCCCCUUCAAGUUCAGUUCUUCAGAGUCUGCUUCAGCUGCGUGAAGUGCUUUUACCCUAAGUCUCCCCAUCUUCUUCAGACCAGCCGGCAUACAGCAACUGAGCAGGGUAGGAGUAUAAGGGGUAGUUCAUUUGAGCCUGACAUGGGGCACUGAGAUAGGCAAUAGCAGCUUCAGAGCCAUUCUGAGUAGCGUGAUGAAACCUCAAACCAUCCCAUUCUGUCCUCCCUGAGACAUGAAUCAUCCCUUUGUCCAGCACAUAUAACCAUGUUGUCCACAUUACUGGCCUAUAAUUAGUUACUUAGUAGCCAGCUCGGUUAUCAGAAUGACUAUGGUGAUAUCGAUGUGCUUGUGCUUAAGUAAACCUUAUUUUACUUAACAAUAAUCCCAAAGCUCAAGACUAAUAAUACUGGCAUACUGUCAUAAUUUUUUAUUGUAUUAUUAGUUAUUGUUGUUAUCUCUACUGUUCCUAAUUUAUAAAUUAAGCUUUAUGAUAGAUAUGUAUAUACAGGAAGAAACAUAGUAUAUAUAGGAUAUGGUACGACCUGCAAUUCCAUGCACCCAUGGGGGGUCUUGGAAUAGAUCCACCGAGGAUAAGAGGGAACUACUGUAUUAAGUAAUGGGGCCACUCCUCUUUGCAUACGUUACAUUCCAAAUGCAUAUAUUCUUUCCACUAGAGCCACAGAGCCAUCAAAGAUCUUCUAUUAUCUAUAUGCUGCGUCCUAGAUGAUGAAACACAAUUCUCAGGAAGUAUUGGCUCCAAACUGGCAUUUUAGCUGUGCAGGCCUUUUCAGCACUCUCUCACACUGACAGCUUCUGGGUGGGUCAGUACGUCAUCUCAUGGUCAUAGGCCCACUUACUCUUCUCCUUUACCAUAAACUAAGUCUUGGUCUAAUGGAAUAAUAAUGUGUUUUGAUGCCAGUGGAACCAAAACUCUGCAAGUCCACAGAUAGUAAUGUUUACUGUUGCUUUACAGGUAAGAAUGGUACCCCCCUACUAAGAAAGUGUGUAUGGCAGGUAAACACUGAGCACACAUGGAUAUAAACACAGGGAUAAUAGACACUGCAGACUACUAGGGAAAGGAUGGAAGGAGAGAGACAUGGGAGAAAAACUACCUAUUGGGUGCUAUGCUCACUACGUGGGUCUAAUACACUAUGUAACAAUUCUACACAUGUACCCCCGUAUCUAAAAUAAAAGCUGUUUUUUUAAAAGAAAAAUUGCUGUAAAUAAUGGAAAGAAAAUGACAGGGCUAAUAUUUUGGGAAUCUUAGAAAAGAAUUAUAUUCAAAUUACAUAAGAAGAAAGACAGAGUCGGGUGCGGUGGCUCACGCCUGUAAUCCUAGCACUUUAGGAGGCCGAGGCAGACGGAUCACGAGGUCAGGAGCUCGAGACCAUCCUGGCUAACAAGGUGAAACCCCGUCUCUACUAAAAAUACAAAAAAAAAAUUAUCCGGGUAUGGUGGCGGGCGCCUGUAGUUCCAGCUACUCGAAAGGCUGAGGCUGGAGAAUGGCAUGAACCUGGGAGGCGGAGCUUGCAGUGAGCCGGGACCGUGCCACUGCACUCCAGCCUUGGCGACAGAGUGAGACUCCGUCUCAAAAAAAAGAAAAAAAAAAAGAAGAAAGACAGGAGUUAUUAUCUUAGUCUGUUUUGUACUUCUACAAAAAAAAUACCUGAAAUUGGGUAAUUGAUAAAGAAUAGAUUUUUUUUUUUUCUCACAGUUCUGGGGGCUGAGAAGUUUAAGUUCAAGGCACCAGCCAGUUUGAUGUCUAGUAAGGACCCCAUCUCUGCUUCUAAGAUGUAACCUCCAGAGGAAAGAAACACUGUUCUCCACAUGGCAGAACAGUGGAGCUAAAACUCAUUUCUUAAUGUCCUUUUCAAAAGUAUUUGAUCUACCCAUGUGGGCAGAUCCCUCCUGGCCUAAUCGCCUCAUAAAGGCCCACUUCUCAAUAUCAUUACACUGAUGAUUAAAUUUCAGCGUUAAGUUUUGAGAUAAAUAUUCAAACCAUGGCAGUUGUCUAUUUGAAUUUUACCUUCAAAAACUCCGUUCACUUAUAUUAUCAUGUGGAACACCAUACUUCUUUGAGUUUGCUUCUUCCUUUCUCUCUCUCUCCCUCUCUGGAUAUGCCUUCUCAGUGUCUCUUCAUUCAAUUUAUUCUGUCUGUUCUUUACAUGUGUCUAUUAUUGAGAGAUCAAUGACAGUUCAAGUUGCUUCUUAUUUUUAAUGCUUUUGUAUCUCAUUUUCAUGCCUUUAAUUAUUAUUGAUGGACUGAUAAUUUCCAGGUCUCUUCUGCCAGCUCAGAUAUCACUAAUCACAGCUGGAUUUAUAUAUACACUGCUUAUGAGACAUCAUUCAAAUCAUGCUGCUCAAAAGAUGACCCAAGAUCUUUUUAUUCUUAACUGGGGUGUGUGUGUGUGUGUGUGUGUGUGUGUGUGUACAUCUUUCUAUACACGACACUACUAUAGUUCACCCACACCCUAAGUCAGAGACAAGUUCAUUGACAUUGUCACAGGCCACAGCCAAUCAUGUCACAGCAACUCUUAGUGAAAUUGUACACUUUUGAGGCUGCUAGCCCAGAAUGUGAAGCCAGAAUCAUGCUGUUUUUAAGUAACUACGUGAUCUUGGGCAAUUUGUGCAAUUAUUCUAUCCCUUAAUUCCCACAUCUGCCAAAUUGAAAUUAAAGUAGAACUCAACACAAAGGUUUUUGUGUGGGUAAAAUACAUUGAGAUAUACACAGCGCCUUACUAUAUAAACACUGUAUGUGUCAGCUACUGUUGUGUUAAGAGUAUUAUGAUUGAUAACAUCUACUAAAUCUCUCUCUCGCCUUACUGCUAUUUCUCUAAUUCAGAAUUCUAUUAUUUUGCAAGUAUCACUGAAAAAGCUAACUUCUCUCUUCAGUGUUGCUGUUUCAUAAUCCUUUCUAUAUAUUACAGUGAUUUUACUAAAAUGGGAAUAGAAUUAAGUUGCUUCUUUAAAUAAAAUUCUUUAAUAAGAUUAUAUAAUAUAUUUUAUUAUAUGAUCAUUCUUGUUCCUCCUGACUAACCACCUUAUUAGGGAUUUUCUGGUUAUUUUAUCUUUCUACAUAAAAUUUGGAUUUGACUUGACAGUGAUUGCGGAAAACAUAUUUCUAUUUUGCCAUUAUUUUAUUACAUUUAUAGAUUAAUAUGGACUGAAUUGUCAUCAUUAUGAUGUUGUGUUUUUAUUCCAAGACAUUACAUGCUUAUAUAUUUGAUAACAACUUACUUUAAGUUCUCCAAUAGUAUACAAUUUUUCCCCUUAAAAAUCAUGCACAUUGAUUAUGAGGUCUGUUUCAAGUUUUUUGCUUUGCAAAAUAGGGUGUUUUCUAAUUAUAUAAUGUAUAUGUUAUGAACUAUUUAUUUUUAUUUUGUAUUCACCUACCUUAAUCAUUUGCCAUCAUGUUUAGAGUCAUUUUUUUCAGUCUUGGCUCCUGUAUACUGAAAGUGUUGAAUCGUAUCAUCUGUAAAUGAUGACAGUUUUGCCUCUUUAUUUCUUAUGCCUUGUCAAAUCUUAAUAGCUAGAUACAAGAAUAUUUGCUUCUAGCUAUAGCAGAUGAACUUGAAUAUAGCCAUCCGUCUUGCUAGACUAAUUAGUAAGGCUGGAUAAAAUAUGAAAGAUAAAGUGUUAGAGGGCACCUGAGAUCUCUACCAAGCAGCAGAGACUUGAGGAGGCAAGACUCCAGAAAGAAGGGAAGCACAUAAACAUAAAUUAGAUGUUCUGUUCAGAUUUUUGCUAUGACACAUUUGCCAGUUGAAAGAGGCAGAAGGAGGCAUCUAAAAAUCUUGAAAGUCAAACUGUCUAUGCAACAACAUUUUGGACCUGGUGUGCUAAAAAAUGAAUUCACAUCAGAUUGAAGAAAAGCACAGGGAGAUGUGAAUGAUAUGGGCUGCUGAAUAAGAUGUGUCUUCAACACAAUCUCCUAUUAGGGCAAAAUUCAAAUAAAAGAAAUAUAUUGAGAUUAUAUAGAAUUUUGAUGCUGACUGGCCAUGAAUUCCAGAGGACACAAUAAAAAAAUUUUCUGAGUGAGAGGAAUUGGAAGAUAAGGCUAUCUGGAUAGCUGUAUCAGGACAGACAUGGCUGAGAACAAAUAAUUGUCUGUAAUAGAACAUGCAAAUUCUUCCUUAGAAUGUAGUAAAGGGACUCCUUUAUUCAUAUGUGCUCCUGCCACAACUCUGAAUGCAUAGAUUCUUUUGACUUGACAUAAAUGCCACAGAUUUGUUUUUAUUUUAAUGAAGUCCAAUAACAGGAGAUCCACCAAUAACCUGGAGGUAGCAGGUAGCUAUUGAAAGGAAGUUUAUGAAAUUAUUAGAAAAUGAUUUAUUGAAACUUUCUAUUACCCAUCUCCUAGCAUUCAAUAUCUGCCCUCAUUAAACUCUACUAGUAAAUUUAAUAAUCACCUUUUGCACAAUCAAAUUUUUAUUAUUUUGGUUGUUAAGUGGGACAUAACACCAUGGUCCCAAAUUUUCUAUAUUUUAAAAUGCAUUUUCUUCAUUUAUACUUCAUACCAUUCUACCAAUUUUCCUAACUGGUUGAAUUCAUUGCUUUGAUUUCUGAUUAAUUUCUCAUAUUGUAUAAUCCUUGAGAGAAAAUACGUCCUUCACACUCAAAUUGUUUGUUUCCAGUGCCAUAUAGUUAAACCUUUCUUUUAUUCGGCAUGUAUUUCAACCUUCCUUGUCUCUCCAUUAACCACUGUCCUUUCUUCCCUUCACAAUUGGUAAAUGUUUUAUUUUGCAAAGAGGAUAGGCUAAUUAAUUUACUAAAUAUAAUAGUUUUAUGUAGGAAAAUACACUGAAAUUAGGAAUAUGUAUUCAAAAUGACAUAUAACAAACCCAUUUUUUUCCUUAUCAAUGUUAUCACCCAACAAUGUGGAACAAAAUGAUGUUACUCAAAGACUUCCCAUUUGUCAUGUUGCUUAAAGUCAUAGAUUCCAAGAACUUAACAACAUCGUCAAGCAAGGACUUACUGUACUUAAUAUACAAAUAGUUUUUUUAAUACCAAAAUGUCUCCUUCCUUUGCUGAAUGCUGAUUGCAUACAUUAAAUCUCCAGUUCCUCGAUGAAUGCAUAUUCUUUUAAAAAACAAGCUGUCAUAACCUAUUAUAAGAGCAUAGCAAAUUAGCAAUAUACGUUUACCUCCUUUGUGAUAGAUAAGUGAAGCAAGUUUUGAAACCAAGUUAAUAAUUCUGAAUAAAUCCACAAUUUUUUUUAAAAUGCUGAAAUUUUGUGUAAUAUUUUUCAAAGGUCUUUAGUGUAACAAAUUAGUGAGAUGAAAUGGUAAAAUGUGCCAAUUCGCUUCCUACCAUAGUUCACUUAUAUAUCACUUGCAUUUUAAUCCUUAUAGAUUUUAAUCCUUAUAGAUUUCUGAGAAGACCAUUAUCCUUAACAAACUAACACAAGAACAGAAAAUCAAAUACCACAUGUUCUCAUUUAUAAGUGGGUGCUAAAUGAUGAGAACAUAUAGACACAUAGAGGGGAACAACACACACAGAGGCCUUUCAGAGGAUGGAGGGUGGAAGGAGGGAGAGGAUCAGGAAAAAAUAACUAAUGGAUACUAGGCUUAAUACCUGGGUGAUAAAAUAAUCUGUACAACAAACCUCCAUGACACAAGUUUACCUGUGUAACAAACCUACACUUGUACCCCUGAACUUAAAAUAAAAGUUAAAAAAAGGAAAAUAAAUUUAAAAAGAAUAUUAUGUGGUCUGAACACUUAUUUCUGUUAAUCAAAUUUCUUUGUAAUCAUAUAAUUAUUUAGUACCACCCACUUGUACAACAUUUAUUGCAUACAUCAGUGUUUAUAAUCAUUUCUAACAAAUAAACUUUUUUAUUAAACAUUGGGUAGAAUUUUAUAUGUAUGAUUAUAAUUUAAUAUACUGCAUCAUAUAUACAUACGUAAGAUGCAAUAUAUCAAGUUGAUAUAAGCAGAGCUUAUCUGCCUGAAUUCAUUGUGGAGAUCAUGGUAUCCUAGAUCCUCAACUUCCAAUGAUAUCUGUUUACUCUUCAUUAGCCACCACUGUAAAAGAAACAAGAUUUAUUAACCACUUGAUGGCUUUCUAUUCUAGAAUAUAGUGACUGCAUUAUCGAAAUGCAUAUGGCAUGUCAUUUGGGAGAAUAACCUGGUAUAGAAGACAGUGUCCAAUACUCAGAUCAAAAGAAAUGAAUUUGCUUCCUGAUUGUGUCAAAAAUCAGUGGUAAUCUGUUAGCAAUUCACUUAAACUCUUUUAAGGCUUAAUGUAGUCAUACAACUAUGAAUGCAUUAUCAAGCGGAGUUCACAUCAUUUUCAGAAUUGUUGUUAUAUUAUUUUAUGAACCUCUGUGUUUUGAUUAUAUAGUUGGUAGCUAGCUGCUGCACUAAACUGUGAGAAAGAAAAUGACACCUAACAUCCUGAACUAGGUAAGGUUAUGUGUUACUACAAGCUGACUUGAUGCUCCCAGCUAGAGAACACUGUUCUCCUGGUGAACAUAAACAAUCUCACAGAGCAUAACAACAUCAGGUCACGUUGAAGGGAUGAUAAAGUGAGAUAAAACAAGGUCACCAUGUACCCCAUGAAGUACUCGAACAUCCUCCUCUCUCUGCUAAAAUGAAUUAUGGCUGCUUCUUUACCUAGUCUAUCCUUCCUGUAGAUAAGAUUUGUUGAGGUUCUCAAUUAUGAACUUGUCUGUCUUCCUGACAGCAUCCAAUCAUGAUCAAAGCCUGAAUCCUUGGACCCUCCCCUGAAUUACCGGACCAAAGCUCAAAUCCUGUAAUAGGUCUUUCUCUUACUGAGAGAGGCACUAUGGCUUUCUUUGCUGUGUGUUUUCCUUUCAUGCAAAGAGUCAUAAAUUCAACUUGUUCAACUAUCACUGUGUUCUUGGUGGCCUUUGUCUGGAGAUAUUUGACAACUGAAAUUUGUUCAAUUUAAGUAAUGCUGAUGCUUUGCAAUGAAUGCUAUUUGAAAUCUGUAUUAGCAGUUAUAUAACUUCUGCUCUAGCACUCUAUGUAUUUACUUCUAAAAUUAAUAAAAUUCUGACAUGUUUAUAAUAUUCUAUACUUACAUGUGUUUCUCCUUCAAGAUUUUAAUUUGUUAUGUUUCAUGGUAGUAUUUGUUUUAGUAAUGUACUUAUGUGAUAGUUAUUAUAUGUUUUAAAUCAUAUCUCAGUUGAGUUUUUCAUCCAUAGGCCACAUUAAUCAUUUUAAUAAGCCAUGCAGGUUAUAUCAAUUCAUUUUAAUAAAUAAUGUGAUUUAAUAGUUUACCUUAUUAGUAUAAACCUAACUCUAUUGAUCUUGAAAUGCCUAAAACAUGAUUUUUUUGUCUUUUCUUAAAGUUAUUACCAAUAAUAAAUCAUAUUGUUUUAAUUCUGAAAUAAGUAUUUGGAAACUAUUUCAAUUUUGAGACAGUGAAAUAUGUUAUUUUUGUGGUUGCAUAAUUUUAUUAUACAGAAUUAACUGACCAUAUUGGAUAGUUUCGAUCUAAUAUACUCCAGUAUGUCUUUUAUGCUAAGUAUUUAAAAUGAUAGAAAAUAUAUUUUGCUCACAUUGACAGAAUUAAAUUUGAGCAAUUUUCUCUUUCUCUUUGUUUAACUGAAGAUAAUUGGUGCAUCUACAAUAGAGGUCAUUGCUGUAUCUUUAACAUUUCAUCUAUAAUCCUUAUGAAAAGAUUGCAAUAUUUGCCUUCCUUAAUUAAGUAUUCAGUUUUGCAAUUUUUAAAUCACACCAAUAAUAAGCAUUUUUUAGGAAGAAUGGAGUAGAGAUUACAGAAUUAUUAGUUUUAUAAGCAAAGCAUAUGUGAGGUAAGUACUAUAUUAGGUCAUAUUUAUUUCCUUUUGACCUGAAAACUUAUUGAAUCUUCCUGAAGUUCUUAUUUUAGGUAAAAAUGGGACAAAACAAAACAAUGACAAGCAAAUUCUGUUCUAAAAAGCUUUAAAACUGAUAUCAAAAUUACUCAGCUAGUAACUUACAUGUUUGAGAAUACAAUAUUAUACACCCAUGUUCAUAGCAGCAUUUUUCAUAAUGCAAGAUGGUGGAAGUAGCCAUGUGUCCAUCCAUGGACGAAUGGAAAACAAAAUGUGUUAUAAAUAUAUAACAGAAUCUUUUUCAGACCCAAAAAGGGAGGAAAUUCUGAUACAUGCUACAACAUAGAUGAACUUUAUGUGCAUUAUGCUAAGUAAACUAAGACAGUCACAAAAAGACAUAUUGUAUAACUCCAGUUAUAGGGGGCACCUAGAGUUGUCCAACUCAUAGACAUAUUAAGUAAAAUGGUGACCAGGUGCUGAGGGAAGGGAGGAUUAGAGAGUUAUUACUUAAUGAGUAUAGAGCUUCAAUUUUUCAAGAUGAAAAGAGUUAGGAAGGUGAUGUUGAUGGUUGUACAAUAGUGUGAAUGUAUUUAAUACUACUUGACUGUACACCUAAAAAUUGUUCAAAUGGUAAGUUUUAUGUUAUAUAUGUAUUUUACCAAAAUUUAAAACAAACAAACAACUUCUCACAUAUGUUUAUACAAAUAAAGGGAUAACUCAGCCAAGCUAUUUAAUAACUUUGAUAAAUCUACACGGUUCUACGCAGAACUACUAUCUUUAGAGAUUAGAAGAAAAUAAAAAAAUAUCUCUCACAGUUUGCAAUCCACCUCGUCAUAGCCAAAAGCAAACUUCCUAAAGGGAAAAAAGUCUUUAUACAAUAAUUAAGGGUUUGUUUCAGUCAAGAAGAAGACAGAUCCACGCUUGUAACCUUAUGUGCUUUUCACAUUAUUUCAGAACAUUUUGUUAAAUGUAAAAUGCUGUAAUAUUUUAACAAAAAAAAAUCAAAGGAAGUUUUUUACAACAUUGUACACCUUAGAAAGUUCAUAAAUAUUGUAAUUUUCUUUAUUUCAUAUAAUAGUGACUACUCAUAUGGUUAUGAAUUUUCACUAGAACGUUUAGCAUAAGACAUUGUUGCAAACAUUUUCAAAAUAUAUCUUAGAAACUUGGGGGGAUGAUAAAAAUUUAAGAUGUUAAGGUGAAAGGGAAUUUAGGUAUUAUCUUUUUCAAAUAUGCUAUAGUUACAGGAGUGUUUGUCAACUAUAGAUGAAAUAUUGUAAGUCGGUGGAAAGUUUUAACCUUCCUUGGUAGUUGUCCAUUCUGUCUUUGGUCAAGUCCAUUUCCUAGAACAUUAUUUUUUUGUCCUAAAAUUUACCAACUAGUCAUUAGCUACAUAUCUAAAUUAACCAAAAGGGAUAUCAAAAAGGAGUGAGAAUACAUUUUAUAUCCCUUGUUUGCACAUAGGUGUUUUAUAAUUUCCCUCUUAUCCCUUUUGGUUAGUCAAUCCCGUCUAUGUGUUUUAGACAUUCCAAGACAAUUAUUGUGACUCAUUUUGGCUAUGCUUUUUCCCUUUUCAGUGUUUUUACAUUUGUCACAUCCUUGAUCCAAAAGAUUCACCCUCUCUUCCUAUCCCAGCUAACACUCUUCAAACUCUCUUCCACAACCUAUUAUUUAUUUUUAUCUUUACCUUUUCAUAAAUUAAUGUGUUACACCAUAAUCAUUCUUUAUGAAUACUUGUCUUGACCAUUUAAUUGAAGAUACCUUAGUUCAGGGACUUGUUAUAUUCACCUUUGCAGCCUCACUUCUAAGCAGAGUCAGCUGCCUAUUAGGUAAUCAAAGACCCCACUGAAUAAAUAAAUCGGGCUAGUUCUGCCCUCUGGAACUUCCAACUAUUACAUUUACUGAAUCUGAAAUAUCAGUUAUUAUUUUCUCCUUCCUUCUUUAUCUAUUUAGUGUUUAACAAAUACCUAUUGGGUAUCUGCUACAUAUUGAACAGAUAUACAGCAAAGACCCAGAAAAAAUAUGCCUGUCACAUGGAAAUUUUUGCAGUCAGUUAAGCAUAUCAUGUUCUCUUGAUUCUAAAGCACUGUUACGAAAUUUGAUGCACUUAAUAAACUUAAUAAUCACUUAUAUAUACAGGCAUAUCUCAUUUCAUUGUGCUUUGCUUUAUUGCACUUUGCAGAUAGUACAUUUCUUACAAAUUCAAGGUUUGUGGCAGCCCUGGUUCCAGCAAGGUAUCAGCACCGUUUUUCCAGCAGCAUGAACUCACUUUAUGUGUUUGUGGCAUAUUUUUCUAGUUCUCACAACACUUCUAACAUUUAAAUUAUUAUUAUAUAUGUUAUGAUUAUUUGGACUAGUGAUCCAUGACGUUACUAUUGCAAUUGUUUUUGUUUUUGGGGUACCACAAACCACAGCCAUAUAAAAUGAUGAACUUAAUCAAUAAAUGUUGUGUGUGUUCUGACUGCUCUACCAAUUGGCCAUUCCUCUAGCUCGCUCUCUCUCCUUAGGCCUCCUUAUUCCCUGAGACACAACAAUAACAAUUCAUAAUUCUCUAAGUGUUCAAGUGAAAAGAAGACUCACACAUCUCACAAAUCAAAUCAAAAGCUAGAAAUGAUUGAAGAUGAAGAUAUAUUGAAAGCCAAGAGAGUCUGAAAGCUAGGCCUUUCACAUAAGUGAGCCAAGUUGUAAAUACAAAGGAAAAGUUCUUGGAGGAAAUUAAAAUUGUUACUCCAGUGGAAAUACAAAUGAUAAUAAAUUAAAUCAGUCUUAAUGCUGAUAUAAUUUUUUUUUGUGGUCUGAACAGAAUAUCAAAUGAGCUACAACAUUUCCUGAAGCCAAAACCUAAUGUAGAACAAAGCCCUAAAUUUUCUCAAUUCUUUGAAGACUGACGGAGGUGAGGAAGCUGCAGAAAAAAAUUUUGAAGCUAGCAGAGGUUGGUUCACAAGGUUUUGGGAAAGAAGCCAUCUUAAUGACAUAAAAAUGUAACAUGAAGCAGCAAGGGUUGAUGUAGCAGCUGCAGGAAGCUAUCUAGAAAAUCCAGCUAAUGUAUGAAGGCAGCUACACUAAACACUGGAUUUUCAGUGUGGAUGAAACAAGUUUAUAUUGGAAGAAGAUGCCAUUUGGAUAGUCAUACUGUAUUAGUCCAUUCUCAUGCUGCUAUAAAGAAAUACCCAAGUCUGGGUAAUUUAUGAAGGAAAGAGUUUUAAUUGACUCACAGUUGUGCAUAGCUCGGGAAGCCUCAGGAAACUUACAAUCAUGACAGAAGACAAAGGGGAAGCAAGGCACCUUUUUCACAAGGUGGCAGGAAGAAGAAGUGCAGAGUGAGGGGGGAAAAAGCCCCUUAUAAAACCAUAAACUCUUCUGAGAACUCACUCACUAUCAUAAGAACAGCAUGGGGAAUCACACCCAUGAUCUAAUCACCUCCCACGAGGUCCUUCCCUCAACACGUGGGGAUUACAAUUCAGAUUAAAAUUUAAGAUGAGGUUUGGGUGGGGACACAGAGCCAGACCAUAUCACAUACCUAGAGAGGAAAAGUCAUGCCUGGCUUCAAAGCUUCAAAGGCAGUCUGACUCUAUUGUUAAAGACUAAUGCAGCUGGUUGGUGAUUUUAAGUUGAAGCCAAUGCUCGUUUCCCAUUCCAAGAAUCCUAGGGCCCUUAAGAAUUAUGCUAAAUGUACUUUGCCUGUGCUCUAUAAAUAAAACAACAAAUCCUGGAUGACAUCAUAUCUGUUUACAGCAUGAGUUACUGAAUAUUUUAUACCCACUAUUAAGACCUACUUCUCAGAACAAAAUAUUCUUUGCAAAAUAUUACUGCUCAUUAAAACAAUGCACCUGUCACCCAAGAGCUCUGAUGGAAAUGUACAAGAUUAAUGUUUUCAUGCCUGCUAAAACAAUAUCCAUUCUGCAGCCCCUAGAUCAAGGAUUAAUUUUGACUUUCAAGUCUUAUGAUUUUCAGAAAUAUAUUUUGUAAGGCUAUAGCUUCCAUAGACAAUGAUUCUUCUGAUGUAUCUGGGUAAAGUAAAUUGAAAAAAACUCUGUAAUAGAGUCAUCAUUCUAGAUACCAUUCAGAAUAUUCGUGAUUUAUGGGAGGAGGCUAAAAUAUCAACAUUAAUAGGAGUUUAUAAGAAGUUGAUUUCAAACCCCAUGGAUGAUUUUGAGGAAUUAAAAACUUCAGUAGAGGAACUAACUGCAGAUAUGAUGGAAAUAGCAAGAGAAGUAGAAGUGGAGCCUGAAGAUGAAAAUUGUUGCAAUCUCAUGAUAAACUUUAAUGAAUGAGAAGUUGCCUUACACAUGAGCAAAAAAAAAAAAAAGCAAUGUAUUAAGCAAUGUAUUGAGUUGGAACUUACUCCUGGUGAAGAUACUUGUAAUCUUCACCAGGAACCUGGUGAACGUUCUUGUAAUGACAACAAAGGACUUAGAAUACUAUAUAUUAGUUGAUUAAACAGCAGCAGGGUUUGAGAGGAUUGGCUAUAAUUUCAAAAGAAUUUCUACUAUAGGUAAAGUGCUAUCAAACAACAUUGAAUGCAAUAGAGAAAUUUUUCUUGAAAGGAAGAGUCAAAGAGGCAAACCUCAUCAUCUUGUUUUGAGAAAUUGCCACUGCCAUCUCAACCUUCAACAACCACUACCCUCAUCAGUCAGCAGACAUCAGUAUGAAGUCAAGAGCCUCCACCAGCAAAAAAUGUAUAACUCGCUGAAGGCUCAGAUGAGAGUUAUUUUAAAUUAAGUUAUGUACAUUGCUUUUUUAGACAUAAUGUUAUUGCACACUAUUGAUGGUAAGGUUAACUAACUGCCAUUAUAACUUAAAGAAAAUUUGAGGUUAAUUUUAUUCUGAGUGAAGUUUGGGGACUAACAGUCUUGGGAACAUAGACCCAGUGCAAACCAAGAGAGUACCCACAGUGGACUACACAAGACACAGUAUUUAUAGGUUAUAUUACAUAGAAGAUAGGAGAAGGGGGUAGUGAAACAAAGGUGAUAUUCUUACAGUUUUGAUUGGUGCUCAGUGAUGCAAGUAUAUAAGAUAAGCAAAUAUGUGGUGAAUGUAUACAGGGUAAACAAACAUGCAGGUGUCUUAGGGUCUGGAGAUGGAUGAUUGAUUCUAUCCUGACUGUGCUUGUCUGAUAGGCAAGGUUGUAAUCAGUACAUGCCAGUGAAAUAUUUGACAGACUCCAGCCAUACAGGUGAGAGUUCAGCUUUAGUUCAUAGGCCUCGUUUCUAUUACCCAUAUGUCCAAACUGCAACCAUCUCAGGUCACUUUACACAUUUUUCUUUCAGAUUUUCUGUUUCCUGACAACACUAUAUAGACAAUAGUAUAGCGUAAACACAGCUUUUAUAUAAACUGGGAAAUGAAAAAAAUUCAUGUUACUUGCUUUAUUGCAAUAUUUGCUUACUGUGGUUUUCUGGAACCAAACUUGCAAUAUCUUUGAGGUUUCUCUGUAAAUUGUUCAAAAAAAUACAUCUUUUUUCCAAACACUAAAGUGAAAAAAUAUAACUUUCUUUUAUAUUUGGGGAAGUGUAUAUUUAUAUAUAUCAUAGUAAAAAUAAUCAACAUGAUUGAUAUAAGAAAAGUAUUUGAACAAGUUCAUAAAGUUAUUUUUACAUGUAAAUUGAAAGAGAAAUGGUUAAUAAAGAUAAAUCACAUGUCAUUUAACUUAUAUGUACCAAAUUACCCAACUAAAAAUUCAUGUUUACAUUAAAUAUAUCACUAAGUAUGAAUAAAAAUGAAAGUAUACUAGAAAGUGUCCUUGCUACUUUCUCAUCUGUUGGUAUAGGUCAGCUAACAUCAGAAUGAUAAACAUAUAUGACAAUUUGGAGUCUAGGCAUGGAGAUAUAAAACAGAAGAGGUUAUUAUUAUGCUAGGCUAUAAUUAUUGUAGUAAUUGUUUUUGCUAGAAGCGUUUUUUCUCAUCAUGAUGGUGUUUUUGACAAAGCACCAGUAACAAUGGUCCAAUUAGUUAUACAAAGUGUGAAAAUGCAUUUGUGUGGGGAAAUGUGAUAUAGAAAUUGCAUAGAUUGCUCAGGAAGAUAUUAACUGAAUUUUGAGAUGUAAUCAUCUGGUGCUCAAAGUGUUCAGUGAAGUUGUCUUACAUGCUCUGAAGCAGAGCUAUCACAGAACACUCCAACUAUUACUUUCAAUUUAGACCAUCAGCUUCGGUCCAUUUACUGAGUGGUUAAAUCAGAGCAAUUGAUUCUUCUGAAUCUCUGCCAGUUAUAUCCAAUAUAGUUCAUCCAGGCCAUGUGCAUUCAGCUGAGUGUUAUUUUUGGACUUCCAUAAGAACUGUUCUAUCAUCAACUGAACAGACAUAGCUUCAGAAAGAGGUUCAUCAUGUGAAGAGCGGAGAUUGCACACCCAGGUCACAAGUGACCUUUCAUUAAAUUACAGACAAAAUCCUAUUCUAAAAAAGGCCAUUGAGGUAUGUGACACCUCAUAACAAGGUUAUUUUCCAUUCCUGUAUAACAUCCCACAGAAGCAUUAUUUGUGGAUGUGAAUAAUGUAUUUUCAGUAAUAAACGUUUCACAAGUCCCUAUCCAUUUAUAACUCACCUAUUUAAUAAUUAUCUCAUUUUCUCUAUAUUGCACAAGGGUGCCACAAAAUUAAUUAUAAUCUUUGUAUCUUGUUUAAUUAUGAUGAUAACCCAUGGUAUGUUUUAUGAAAGGGUUAAAAGGGGGUUACAUAUAUAAAAUAUGAUCUCUAAGAAAAUUUAGAUUGUAUGUAUCAUAGUAAUUAUUUUUUUGUUUAGAACUAGAUAGUAUUGGCUACAAAAAAAGUCAUUCUUCAAAAAGUACAAAUAAGUUAUUAUUUAAAUUUUCAUUCUAAUGACAGUUUAGUCAGUUGCACACACACACACGUAACAUAUAUGCAUUUACUGUAUUUAUCUAUAUGUAAAUAUAUUUUUUAAAGAGAUGAAAAAUAGUAAACACUAAAGAAACAUUUAUUGCUUACUAACUGUUAGUCAUUGGACUUAAUAUUUUAUUUUUUUUUAAUAUUUUAAUGCUUUAUUAGUAAAAUUUUGCAUAUAUUCAAGAGUGUGGAAAACAUAUAGAUAUAGAUAUACAUCUUAAUUAAUAAUUUAGUGAAUGACUAUAUAAAAACCCUCAACUACUUAGAUUUUGAAUCCCCUGUCUUGUACUGCAAUACUACUGUCAGGAGACAAUGCUUCAUAGUUAAUGUUUCUGAAACGUGAGGACUUUGUGAAGAAAGAUUAUACAAAGUCAUAUUAACCUGGUCUAGCAAAAAUACAAUAUCUGCAUCAUAACAACAGUGGGGCUACUUAUUAGUAAUUUUGUAAUAGUCUACUGUUAAUCCUGCUGUUUUUUAGAAAUUUGACUAGUAAAUUAAGUGGGGUCAUGAACCACUAUUGGAUUUUUAAAUCUUUAAUACUGACAUGAUUUCCUGCCACAACCCUGGGAUUAGAGAAUUAAAGAUGGUGCUACCCUUCUCACCAGCUCAUCACACACCUUUUGGUAAACAGAAUGUUCUCUGGGCCCUACCAUGAAAUAAAGUUCAUUGGCAGGAUUUCUGGCCUGACUUAGUAGCUCUAUGCCAUCAUUCCCCUUUUUAGUUUUUAGAAUUUUGCUGAACGUUAACAAAGAAAAAAUAAUCUUAUGAAUUAAAAGGGGGUUUUAUUAUAGAUCCUGCAACUAAUAAUAGAAUUAAUAGAAUAGCAACAAUAUAUAUGUGCAACUUUAUGUCAGUUAUUUUUAAAGCCUACAUGAAUGGAACACUUGUUGAAACAUAAUUUAUCAAUCCUGACAUAAGACUAUCUGAAUAGUUUUUAUCGGCAAAUAACAUAUUUCUGUUUUAAAUUCAGAUUAUCCAACAAAGAAAAUUCCAGGAAGAAACGGGCUAACUGGUAAUUUUUCAAAAUAUUUAGGAAUGAAAUGAUGAGUCUUACAGAUUCUUUCAGAAUGCAGAGAAAGAGGGUACACUUUUUUAUUCAUUGUAUGAGGUAAAGUUAAGCUUGAUACUAACAUCUACAAAGGAUAGUACAAGAAAGACAAGUACAGGCCAAUCGCUAUAAUGAAAAUAGAUAUAAACAUUCUAUACAAAAUAGCAGAUAAGAUCUGGUUACAUACAAAUCAAAUAAUGUGAUUUAUUUUGUAAGGCAAAAUUUUCUAUUGAAUAUCACUAUAACUAGUCACAUUAACAAGAAAAUGGAAUAAAAAGACCAUCAUCAUCUUGUGGGAUAAAUUUUUUAAUUUUGAUAAAAUAAUUGAAUAUUUUAUCAAAUACCAUAACUAGCUAUGGAUAACAAAUGUCAGCAAAACAUAAGUAAAAGCUAUUGCUUGUGUAAGAAUAUCUACCAAAAUUAAACAACUAUUAUCUCAUUCAAUAGUGAAUAUUGAAUGCUUUCUUUGUGAUAUCAUUAUGAAGAAAAGCACAACCACUAUCUCAACUUGUAUAAAUAUUAUAUAAGUUCCUAGCUGGUAUAAUAGAAAAAAAUAGGUUAAAGUUUUUGAAGAAAAAAAAAAAUAAACUGUCUCCUAGUCUCAGAUGAAAUUAAUGUGUGAAUAAAAAAAUGAAAAAAAAAAAACAAACUGGUCAUUUAAUAAAUGCAUGUAGUGAGUUCUCUGUAUAAAGCUUAAUAAAGUCCAGCUAUAAUGGUGGAAACCAAGGAACUGGCUGGGAUGAUUUAAAUGUCCUUUAUUUUUAGGGCUUAGAUUACAUGAGGAUAUGCAUUUGCCAAAACCCAUCAAACUAGACACUUACAUCUAUAUUUUAUUAUUUUCACAUUACUUGCAAAUAAAAACAAUUUGGAAAAAGUGAUAAAACAACUAAAUGUAGCAUGUUAAUUUUAAUUCUACUUCUAAAAACUGCUAAUUGAUAGCAUUAUUUUAAUGUAAGUAAUAAGGGUAUAGCUUUCAUUAUACUAUUUAUACAACAUUUCUUUACGUUUUUCUUUUACUAUUAACUAAUAAAUUUUUCACUUUAAAAUAAAGUUACCUUAUGUGAUUUUCAUAUUGUAGCAUAAAGCAUCUAUGAAAGAAAAGAGACCCCUUUUCUGCAUAGAUGACCAGAAAGAAAAAGAUAAAAUGUCCCCAGUCCCAACAGCAGUCUUCUCAUAAAGUCACUCCUGGCCACAAAACAGAAGAUUCUAAUGACUCCUAGAACAUUUCCCUCCAUCAUUAUGUGUGAAUUCCACAGGGCACCAGAAUGUCCAUUUCUACUCCAUUACCAUCUUUGCACUGCUUUUCCCUAUUUACCAUCUUAGUGAAGCAGGAGGUGUAUAAUCAAGUCUUAAGCCAUACCCUGGCAGUGUAAACGGAAACCCAGCUGCAGCAACUCCAGUCUGUGUCCAAGGCUCAGAUUUGAGCCAAUUCCUAUUCCUAUUCGUAUUCCUUUCUCAAUUCCUAUUUUUCAAAGGAAAGCCAGGUAUUCCUUGCUCAAGGAGGGUUUGAGAUGGAGUUUUAAAAUCUCUCAAUGCAUUGUUUACUGUUAUAUUUCAAAAAGUAUAAUUAUCUUUGUGAAAUAUUUUUACGUGAAAAUGAAGAUUAUUAAUUUGAUCAAGCACUUUAUUAUUAUGCCUUCUGUUAAGUAAUUACUGAAGAAAAAAAUAGUAAUUAUACCUAAAGGAAUUAUAUUGGUUAGUAUUUAUGGAAUAUUACCUAUGCACCAUGUAAUGGGCCAAACUCUAUUAACUCAACUCAUGGAUGAAGUAAUUGAGGUACAGAAAGUCACAGAGAAAGUAAAUUUUGGGACUGGAGCCAAUUCAGAGCCUUCUGACACUGAAACCAGAUCUUCUAAGUGUAAUAGUCUAAGUUCUUUCUAGUUUAAUAUAUGUUAUCAUAUUAAGAAAGUAUUCAUUAAUUUUUAUCUUAUUAGGGAAUGGGUAUUAAAUUUUGUUAAAGGAAGGUCUUUUUAGCAGUUAUGGGGUGAUCAUAUUAUUUUUCUCUUUUUAUAUCAAUUAAUAUGGUGAAUUACAUUAAUGGAUUUUUAAAUGAGAGUUUUAAAGAGAGAGAGAAUUAAUGUAAGGAUCUUUUAACUGAACUUCCCAAUAAAUGUGAAAGAAGUUAUAACACAGAAAACAGCCAUUUUAAAUUCUCAAUGAAAUAAUUAACUUUGACAAGGAUCCUCAGUCCUUGUCAAAAUAAUUGUGGGGAAAGUUUGUGGGGAAAGGAGGUCUAGAGGUCCAGAGAUUCAUACCAACCAUUACCUGUCCACCCCCCACCUACCCCUAUGUUUUCAUUUUAGACCAGUGCUUGUUAAUCCUCCCUGAACAGCUGAAGAGCAUUUAUUUUAUUUAUUUGUUUUUUCCACCUUUAUUUUAGUUUCACGGUGUACGUGUGCAGGUUUGUUACAUGGACAAAUUACAUGUUGUUGAGGCUUGCAUCACCCAAGUAGUAACUAAUGCUUCUUAUUAAUCAAGGGAAAGGCGUACCUUGGUAAUGGAGUGUUUUCACAGAAACCACCUGAAUCAAGUAAUUCAUUUUGGGAAAAUGACAAUAUUUACUGAUUUAACCAUGGAAUGGAUAUUAAAAACACAAGUUCUACAGCAUUCUUGCAAAAACAAAACAAAACACUGAGUUGUAUCAAAACAAUUAUUAGAAAAUACUAAUAGUGGAAGAUACUAGUAAACAACUCACCCAGAUUACUCAAAUAUGUCAAUAAUCUAAAACAUAAACACAGACAGGAAAAUGCUCUGAUUAAGGAGACUAAAGAAGCGUAAAACCUCAGUACCAUAUAUGAUUUUUAAUUGGUCUCUAGAUUUGAAAAAAAGCUAUGAAGGACAUCUUGGGUACAAUUAGGAAAACUUGAUUAUGUACUUAUACAUUAGGUAAUAUUAUAAUACCAUAUCAGUAAUAAAUAUUUGGGAUAUAGUAAUGGUAUAUUACCACUGUUCUUAGGAGAUGCCUGCUGAAGUAUUUGGGGACAAGGAGUCUUGAUGACUGCAACUUUAAUUUUAAAACAUGCAAAGAAAGAGAGAGAGAGAGAGAGAGUAUGUACCAGAAUAUAUUGUAUAAUUCUUUCAAAUUUUCUGUAUCUUUAAACUUUUUUACAAAUUGAAAUUAAAAACCUAUAUAAAGCACUUCAUUACAUCCCACUAUUUAAUAGUAAAUGUGCUUCAGACACUUUGUUCAGGUUAACACGAAAAGCACAAGCAGUGUCAGGAUGCAGUCAAUACAGAACAAUAACAACAAGAAAACCACAAUCAUUGAAUGUCUUCCUUUUAAGCUGUCGUGAUAUUUUAUAAAACUGUGUGUAUAGAUCCGUGUUUAAAAUUAUCCUCACAUUUUGCUUUCCCUUGUUUCUUCCUCCUUCAUUAUUUGUCUUAAGUAGUUUUUUCACCUUGGUGAAAUAGUUUUUUCCCCCCAUCAAUUCUGUUAUAUUCAUGUAAAUUAAAAUUCAGUUUUUUUUUCCUUUUUUUCAGAAAAACUAUAGUAACUUGAUUUAUAGGUACAUGUAAAUAUGUUUUAAAAUUCACACUUGCAGAAAACAUUUUCAGUCUUUCAUUGACAUCAAUAAGGCUAUAAGAAUGGUAUACUUUAAGUUAUCUUUACUUCAGCUGAACAUUAGCUUUCCAUCACACUUUAAUAGUGUUCAUGGUGGGGGGUGUUUAGUUAGAAGUCAGGCCAGAGAAAAAAGCCUCAAAAAACUGUGUUUAUGUAAACUUAUUUUAUACAUUACUAUAUUCAGAGAAUGCAUACUAAUGUGUAGGUAUGUACAAAUAAAUGCAUGCCACAGAGUAUACCUUUCAUGGGAAUAAAAUAAAGUUUGUUUUUCUAGAUCUAUAUUUGUCAUCUUGCACUUUUAUAUGGAAAGUGAAUGCUCUAAUGUUACCGGUAGGAAGCCGGCUGAUUGUUUGAGCUUCCACAUCUUAGGCAAUAGUCCCGUACAGAGCACUUCUAAAAUCAGUAAGUUAUGCAAAAAUUGACUAAAAAUGGAGUAAAGACUUAAAUGUAAGACAUGAAACUGUGAAACUACUAGGAGAAAACAUACGGGAAAUUCUUCUUGACAUUGGCCAAUCGGUUUAUGAAUAGAUGCUGAACAUCAUCAGGGAAAUGCAAAUCAAAACCACAAUAAGAUGUCAUUUUAUUCCAGUUAGAAUGCCUAUUAAAAUGACAAAAGAUAACAAGUGUUGCAGUGAUGUGGAGAGCCCUUACACAUUGUUAGUGGAAUGCCAAGUAGUACAGCUACUAUGGAAACAGUGUGGAGGUUCCACAAAAACUUAAAAAUAGAAUACUAUAUAAUCCAGCAAUCCUACUACUGGGUAUAUAUUCAAAGAAAAUGAAAUCAGUGUGCUGAAGAGAUAUCUAGACUCCCAUAUUUAUUACAGCAUUAUUCCCUCAAACCAAGAUAUGACAUCAACCUAAGUAUUCAGCAACAAAUACAUAAAGAAAAUGUGGUAUAUAUACACAAUAGAAUGCUAUUUCUCCAUUAAAAAAGAAUGAAAUCCUGUCAUUUGUGACACAAUGGAUGAAUCUAGAGAACAUUAUGUUAAGUGAAAUAAGCCGGACAGACAAAUACCUCAUCAUCUCCCUCCUAUGUAAAAUCUUAAAAGCUGAUUUCAUAGAAGUAUAGAAUAGAAAGGUGCUUAGCAGAGGCUGGAAGGAAAAGGGGAAAGGAGGGCAGGAAGAGGUUGGUCAAUGGUUAAAAGUUACAGUUAGAUAGGAGGAACAAGCUCUAAUGUUCUAUUGGACAGUAGGGUGACUUCUUUGUUAAUAAUAGUGUAUUGCAUAUUUCAAAAUAGCUAGAAAAAAGGACUUUGAAUGUUCUCACUACAAAGAAAUGUUAAAUGGUUGAGCUGAUGGAUUUGCUAACCACCAUGAUUUGAUGAUUAUACAAUGUAUACAUGUAUCAACAUGGCACAUGUUGCACAGAUAUUAUGUGUCAAUUAAAAAUAAGAUAAACUUAAGAAAAUUAAUGAGUUAUUUGAUAUUUUGUGUUCAAAGGUGUUACUUGCAAUCUAGAUAAAUAGAAACUGAUUAGCUAUAGAAAAAUAUUUUACAUUAUUGUAUACAAAUCUAUCUAGAUAUGUGUCAGAAGAAUUGAAUAUUUACAAAAAAUGACAUAUAGGAAGCACUGAAUUAUCAUAGAAUGAGAGCUAUCUAGACUUGCACAUCAUUUUCUUUUUUAAACUUUUAUUUUACAUUCGGGGUACACGUGCAGGUUUUUUUAUAUAUGUAAUUUGAGUGUUGUGGGGGUUUGGUGUAUAUAUCAUUUUGUCACCCAGGUAAUAAGCAUUACACCUGAUAGGUAGUUUCUCUAUCUUCACCCUUCUCCCAGCCUCCACCCUUAAGUAGGCCCCAGUGACUAUUGUUCCCUUCUCUUUGUGUCCACAUGUAUUCAAAGUUUAACUCCCACUCAUAAGUGAGAAUAUGCAGUAUUCGGUUUUCCGUUCCUGUUUUAGUUGGCUUAAGAUAAUGGCUUCCAGCUCUAUCCAUGUUGCUACAAAGAACAUGAUCUCAUUCUUUUUCAUAGCUGCAUAGUAUUCUAUUAUGUAUAUGUACCACAUUUUUUAAUUCAGUCUACUGUUGAUGGGCAUGAAGAUUGAUUCCACGUCUUCACUAUUGUGAUUAGUGCUGCAAUGAACGUACACAUGCAUGUGUCUUUAUGGUAGAACAGUUUAUUUUCCUUUGGGUAUACACCUAAUAAUGGGAUUGUUGAGAUGAACGGUAAUUCUAUUUUAAGUUCUUUGAAAAAUCACCAAACUCCUUUCCACAGUGGCUGAACUAAUUUACAUUCCCAUCAGCAGUGUAUAAGCAUUCUUUUUUCUCCACAAUACAGAAUCUGUUAUUUUUCUGACAUUUAGUAGUGGCCAUUCUGAAUGGUGUGAGAAGGUAUCUCAUUGUGGUAUUGAUUGCAUUUCUCUAAUGAUUAGUAUGUUGAGCAUUUUUUCAUAUGCUUGUUAGCUGCAUGUAUGUUUUCUUUUGAAAAUGUCUCUUCAUGUCCUUUGUCCACUUUUUAAUGAGGUUGUUUGGUAUUUUCUUGUAAAUUUGUUUAAGUUCCUUAUAGAUGCUAGAUAUUACACCUUUGUCAGAUGCAUGGUUUGCAAAUAUUUUUCCCAUUCCGUAGGUUUUCUGUUUACUCAGUCAAUAGCUUCUUUUGGUGUAUGGAAGCUCUCAAGUUUAAUUGGGUCGCAUUUUUCAAUUCCUGUUUUUGAUGUAAUGGCUUUUGGCAUCUUCAUCAUGAAAUCAUUGCCAGGUCCUACGGCCAAAACAGUAUUUCCCAGGUUAUCUUCCAGAGUUUUACUGUAGUCUUGUAGUAUAGUUUGAAGUCACGUCAUGUGAUGAUGCCUCCAGCUUUGUUUUUUGUGCUUAGUGCAUCAGUUUUCUUUGGCUACUCAACAAAUGCUAGAGACUUAAAAGUUUAAAAAAUACAAGUUUAUUGUCACAGUUUCCAAUAAUAAGGAGCCCAGAUAUGGGUUAGCUUAGUCCUUCCCUCCAGGCCUCACCAGGCUGAAAUUGAUGUGUCAGGCUGGGGUGUGAUUUCAUUUUAGGCCCAGGGUUCUUUUCCAGGCUCCUGUGGCUCUUGACAGAUUUACUUCCUCACAUGUAACUGUGGAAUCCCUAGAGGGCGUGUCUUCAUAAUCAGCCGCAAACUGACUUCAGGUGGGUGUCCGUACUCUUUAAAGACUUACCUGAUUAUGUCAGACUCACCUGGAUAAUGUCCAUUUUGAUAAAAUUAAAGUCAACUGUUUAGUAACUUGAGUAGAGGAAUGAUAUUCCAUUAUAUUUACAGGUUCUUUCUGCACUCAAAGGGAGGAUACUAUACAGAGAAUACGCACCGGGAAUAAAAAUUUCACAGGACCAGUUAGAAAUUUUGCCUAUCCCAACAGUUAUUGAAAAAACUGUAGCUCAAAUAGUUACCCUGACACUAGUAUUUGGUCUUGGAAAACUCACCUAAGUAGUUCCUUAGAUUGUGUGUUUCAAUACACUUAGUUCUAACAUGGAAAUAUGAAGAUCAGCUCCAAAUAUUUUUUUCCCAUGAAAACCAUAUGAUAUGUUUAAAUGCUCCAGGACAUACUGUGUAUUCUUAGAAUGGACCAUAUCUAAAUGAAAUAGAGACUUGGUCUCUAUCAGAAUCCAUACUAAUGUGUAGGUAUGUACAAUAUCAGUAAUAAAUAUUUGGGAAUAGUAAUGGAUUUACAUGGAGUUAACAAUCUAGAAAAACAGUUUUUUAGUUACAAAGAUAUUUAGAAAAUAUAACUUUCCAAUGUCAUUCUUAAUAAUAUUAAGAGUUCCAUGCUUAUAAAUAUUGUUCUGUAUUAUCAUCAACUGACAUAGUUUACAUACGUGUCUCUGUUCAAAUCUCAUGCUGAAAUGUAAUCCCCAGUGUCGGAGGUGGGGUCUAGCGGGAGGUGAUUGGAUCAUGGGGGUGGUUUCUCAUGAAUGGGCUAGCACCAUCCCCUGGGUGACGUCCUCGUGAUAGUGAGUCCUUGAGAGAUCUGGUUGUUUAAAAGUAUGUGGCACCUCCCUGCUUGCUGUCUUGCUGCUGCUUUUACCGUGUGAUAUGAAAGCUCCGGUUUGGCCUCCCAUCAUGAAUGUAAGCUUCCAGAGGCCUCUCAGAAGCAGAUGUCACUAUGCUUCCUGUGUAGCUUGCAGAACCAUGGCUGAAGGAAAUAAUGUAUACAGUGGUCCAUUUCCAAGACAAAGUGCCUUAAAUCGGCUUAGGUCAGCAAACUGCAAAAGAAAUAGAAUGUACUAGGCCCUUGCGUGGAUAGCCAAUGCCUGCUUGUUGGACUCACUGCCCCCCACCCCACCUUUAGUUGGCUCACCUGAACCAAAAAAGUCGUCUAAGAUAAAAGUUUACUAGCCCGCAAAAUAGCUUGUUUUGUCCAUUCUUAUCAGCCUGCCCAGGUACUUAGGUCAUAAGUCAAAUAUAUAAAAAGCCCCUGAGCUAACUAGGAUUGCAAUGCAUUGUGGGCUGCAACAAAAUGCAGCAAAACAACCCUAAAAAGAACACCUAAAGCCCCUACCCAACAACCAAUAGGUGAUGUCCGGGAAGACUGUGACCCCAUAGUACUCAGGCUAUGAGGAACCUGGAAAGGGACUUGCACACUAGGGGAUAAAAUGCUUGUUAAAAACUGUGCUGGGUUCUUUGUAGAUUCUGGAUAUUAGCCCUUUGUCAGAUGGAUAGAUGGCAAAAAUUUUCUGCCAUUCCAUAGGUUGCCUGUUCACUCUGAUGGUAGUUUCUUUUGCUGUGCAGAAGCUCUUUAGUUUAAUCAGAUUCCAUUUGUCUAUUUUGGCUUUUGUUGUCAUUGCUUUUGGUGUCUUAGUCAUGAAGUAAUUGCCCAUGCCUAUGUCCUGAAUGGAAUUGCCUAGGUUUUAUUCUAGGGUUUUUAUGGUUUUAGGUCUUACAUUUAAGUCUUUAAUCCAUCUUGAGUUAAUUUUUAUAUAAGGUGUAAGGAAAGGGUCCAGUUUCAGCUUUCUGCAUAUGGCUAGCCAGUUUUUCCAACACUAUUUAUUAAAUAGGGAAUCCUUUCCCCAUUGCUUGUUUUUGUCAGGUUUGUCAGAGAUCAGAUGGUUGUAGAUAUGUGUCAUUAUUUCUGAGGCCUCUGUUCUGUUCCAUUGGUCUAUAUAUCUGUUUUGGUACCAGUACCAUGCCGUUUUUGUUACUGUGGCCUUGUAGUACAUUUGAAGUCUGGUAACAUGAUGUCUCUGGCUUUGUUCUUUUUGCUUAGGAUUGUCUUGGCUAUGUGGGCUCUUUUUUGGUUCCAUAUGAAAUUUAAAGUAGUUUUUUUCCAAUUCUUUUGAAGAAAGUCAGGGGUAGCUUGAUCGGGAUCAUUGAAUCUAUAAAUUACUUUGGGCAGUAUGGCCAUUUUGAUGAUAUUGAUUCUUCCUAUCUAUGUACAUGGAAUGUUUUCCGAUUUGUUUGUGUCCUCUCUUAUUUCCUUGAGCAGUGGUUUGUAGCUCUCCUUGAAGAGGUCCUUUACAUCCCUUGUAAGUUGUAUUCCUAGGUAUUUUAUUCUCUUUGUAGCAAUUGUGAAUGAAAAACAACCCCAUCAAAAAGUAGGUGAAGGAUAUGAACAGGCGCUUCUCAAAAGAAGACAUUUAUGCAGCCAACAAACAUAUAAAAGAAACCUCAUCAUCACUGGUCAUUAGAGCAAUGCAAAUCAAAACCACAAUGAGAUACCAUCUCACGCCAAUUAGAAUGGUGAUCAUCAAAAUGUCAGGAAAAAACAGAUGCUGCAGAGGAUGUGAAGAAAUAGGAACACUGUUGGUGGCAGUGUAAAUUAGUUAAACCAUUGUGGAAGACAGUGUGGUGAUUCCUCAAAUAUCUAGAACUAAAAAUACCAUGGACCCAGCAAUCUCAUUACUGGGUAUGUACCCAAAGGAUUAUAAAUCAUUCUACUAUAAAGACACAUGCACACGUAUGUUUAUUGUGGCACUGUUCACAAUAGCAAAGACUUGGAGCCAACCCAAAUGCCCAUCAGUGAUAGACUGGAUAAAGAAAAUGUGGCAAAUAUACACCAUGGGCUAUAUGCAGCCAUAAAAAAGGAUGAGUUCAUGUCCUUUGUAGGGACAUGGAUGAUGCCGGAAACCAUCAUUCUCAGCAAACUAACACAAGAACAGGAAACCAACCACCACAUGUUCUCACUCAUAAGUGGGAGUUGAGCCAUGAGGACACGUGGACACAGGGAGGGGAACAUCGGGGCUUGUUGGGGGGUGAGGGGGAGAGAUAGCAUUAGAAGAAAUAUCUAAUGUAGAUGGCAGGUUGAUGGGUGCAGCAAACCACCAUGGCACAUGUAUACCUAUGUAAUAACCCUGCACAUUCUGCACAUGUACCCCAAAACUUAAAGUAUAACAAAAAAAAUUAAAAUAAAAAAAAAAACCGGUACUGGGUGUUCCUGCUCAUCAGACCCCUAACCUUGCAAGACCAUCAUUAAAAGUCUCACUUUUGCUAUUUUCCAGGUCUCUGAGUCCAUUCUUUGGGUUUGGACAAGUGCGUUUGUUUCUCACAUGGGCCAGUUGAACCUCUUCUUUAUAAAUUAUCCAGUCUCAAGUAUUUCUUGAUAGCAAUGAUUUGUGGCUCUUCACGAAGAUAAAUAUUUAUCACCAAACAAUGUAAACUUCCCACAUGACAACGAGCAACUACCAUCUUGUCUUCAGGAUAUUUUUGUAGAUUUGAAAGGCAGUAGAAGCCGGGGACAGGGGCUCACGCCUGUAAUCCCAGCACUUUGGGAGGCUCUGGCGGUGGAUUACUUGAGGCCAGGAGGUCAAGACCAGCCUGGCCAACAUGGCAAAACCCCAACUCUGCUAAAAAAUACAAAAAUUAGCCCAGGGUGGUGAUUCGUGCCUGUAGUCCCAGACACUGGAGAGGCUGAGACAGGAGAAUCGUUUGAACCUGGGAUGCGGAGACUGCAGUGAGCCAGGUCCAAAAAAAAAAAAAAAAAAAAAAAAGAAAAAAGAUCAUAGAUAUUAAUUAGUUCAGCAGGCUGAUGUUAAAAAGUAAAACUAUGGCUAAGACAACUAAAAUGACAAGAUCAGAUAUACAUAGCCAGUUUAUCACUGAGAACACUUUUGAGAUAAUAGUGGAAAAUAUAUAUUUAUUUAGUACGUGCAUACAAUCCUUAUUAGCAUGCCCAUAAGAACAUGAGUAAAUAUGCUUGUAAAUAAGGCAUCAAAUUAGGGCCAACAUUUAAAAUAUAAAAUUGUUUUUAACAUUCUCCUUAAUAAGGAGAGAAAGUACACAUUCCAAAUGUGUCUUAGAAAUAAUAUUAUUCUAAAAACAUUCAUUGUUAUCAUGUACCAUUGCUUUAAGAGGUUUGUAAGAUCCAUUUCAGUUAUGACAUUAAAAUAGAACAGAUAAUUACAAAAAAUCCGAAUUGACAUUUCUUGCAAAUGUUUUAAGCCUAGGAUUCCAUCAAGGUAUUAAUAACCAAUUUAUUUUAAUAAAACCUUUCCAUUUUCCAUACAUAAAAUGUUUCAAAUUUCCCUUCAAAUAGUAACAGUGUAAUAUCUAUUUUAAAAAAUUACUGUUUAAUUAAAAAUUUUACCUUAUAUUGUUGGAAUACAGGGAAACACAUUUUAAAAUAUUAUAUACAUAAGACACAUUUAGCUCAAACACUGUAAAGAGUUUGAACAACUCUUGCUUUGUAUGCAAUAGAAGACAUUUUAGUGAAUCUACGUUGACAUACAAGCCAAGGGGUGAUAUUAAUAGUAAUGCAAAAUAAGAUAUACUUGAUUUUAUCAUGACUCUUAAACUAACCAAAAUACUUUUAUUUAAAAGAAAAGCACGGAGUUUAAACAAUUAAUAUUCACUCCAAACCAAGAUUAGUACAAGCUCAUGUCUCAAGAUUUCUAAUCUACUUAGAGCAAUUUUGAUAAGGAAAUAAAAAUCAAUGAUAUGGUUACCCAACGAAAACCCACUUUCAUAGCUAAAAAAAAAAGAUAUGUGCUGUUGUAUAACUUAACUGAUAUUUUAAAAUUACAUAAUUUAUGAGAGUUACUUCCUUAAAAUUAUCUCUCUCUCACUUUCUGUCCUCUCUCUCCCUGUUUUGUCUUUCUUGAUGCUAUUUAUAACUGUUAAGUGCCUAACCUAACUUCCUGUACUUGUACUGGUUUUAGGAUGUGUAUAAAUAAAUUUUAUAGAGAUGUCAUUGUAUCAUUUUAAAUUAUGGACAUCUAUUCAGUUAGUUAUGUUUUUUAAAGGAGAUGAGAAAGAAAACACUUUCUGAAUCUACAAAGUAUUCUUAUUUCUGAUGUUACUGUCUUUAUUCCAUUCUGUUAAUCAUAGUAUAAUCUCUCUUUGAAGUAUAAAAUAGUUGAGGAUCAGUUUUACGCCAGAAUUUAUAAGCUAUCAUGCUGAAAUCCUCCAAACCAGUAAGCACAUCAUAAACACACAAUGGAUAAUGGUAGUUUCAAUGGUCUCUGAAGUUGGUUUGGAUGUUAACAUAGCUCCAUCAUCUACUGUGUUACCUAAGGUAGUUCUUAAUAGCUCUGAGUCUUGGUAUAGCCAUUUGUAAAUUAUAAAAAGAAAAUCAAUAGCGCUACUAUAAUUGAGGCUAUUGUGAGAAUUAAAAUAAAAUGUAAUAUAAAAAUAAAAUACUAAAACAGUUUUUAACUUUAGUAGAUGCUGUCUAAACAUGUAGGUGCAAUCUUAUUAUUCUUGCUAGAUUAAAAUUAGCAACAGAAACUGAAAAUCAAAUAGAAGAUAUUAUUUUAUAACACUAUUUUCAGUUACCUUACAUGCUCUGAACAUGUAACACCAGCUCUAGUUCUGUAAAAUCUUAAGGAUUUAAUGUGAGCUACAGUAUUAAAAAUCACUUAAAUAAUGAUCCUCAUCCGCAGCGGAAUCUAUUUCAUGUUUAACGAGGUAUGUGUUUUGGAUUUCAUCCACGUCUGACAAAGCAGAGGCAUGGGCAUCAGUGUGUUUUGCAUUUUUUUGUGUGUUUUAUUUACUUAUAUUUUUUCUCACUGAAAUAUCCUAACUCAAACUUGUUGGCUUUCAUUAAUACUUAUGUUUAUAACAAUGUAUUGUAAUCUCUACCCCCAACAAACACACACAUUUAAAAUGUGAGGUUAGUAUUAAAAUUGGAUGUUUGUACUGAAACACAUUAUAUACUUCCCAAACUAUGUGUCUUUAUAACACAGAUGUUAAUUAGAAUAAAUAUGAAUAUUAAAAUGUUACCGAAAGGAAGAUAGUAAAUUCAUUUUCUUCAUUUAUUCUUCCCUAUUCAUGUGUCAGAGAAAGUUCUCAAACAUUGGGUCAUAUUUUGCAGAAAGAAGGACAUUUUCCUAGAGUACUAAUGAAGGACUUGAAGGCUUUUUCAGUUGGCUCUGAUUUUUACCUCACCACAUUGCCACUUCCCCUCGAUGCUGCCAGAAGGCCCUUAACUUUACUCCUCCAUUGAGUCCCUUUGGUCAUCUGGGCUGGCUUGAGUCACCUGCAGAAAGCAAGCCUUCUAAUCUUCACUUGGGACACUGGUAAUCUGUUUGUGAAGCUGUUUAAACACCAUCAGUUUCUUCCAGACUCCUUCCCUUUCACCUCUACUUGAACAUAUUAGUGUGUUACAAUUCUUUUUUUGUUUGUUUGUUUGAGACAGAGUUUCACUCUUGUUGCCCAGGCUGGAAUGCAGUGGAGCAAUCUCCGCUCACUGAAACCUCCGCCUUCCGGUUUCAAGCAAUUCUCCUGCCUCAGCCUCCUGAGUAGCUGGAUUACAGGCGCUUGCUACCACACCCUACUAAUUUUUGUAUUUUUAGUAGAGACGGGGUUUCACCAUGAUGGCCAGGCUGGUAUCGAACUCCUAACCUCGUGAUCCACCGGCCUCAGCCUCCCAAAGUGCUGGGAUUACAGGCGUGAGCCACCGCGCCCGGCCUUGUGUUACAAUUCUUUACCUGCCAAAUGGACCCUUUUGUGAGGAAAACAUGAGCAAAGAAUUAGAUGACCGAGUUUGGGAAGUCUGCAGUCUGAUAAUCUAUAAUCUGCAACAUUGCUCCCAGCAAUGUUUCAUGUGCACUCAAAUAGGCCACAUUAGCAUGGACUAUCUUUUCUCUCUCUCUUAGCCUAGCCUUGAUUCUUAUGUCAGCUGAGCCAAGUUGUAAUUCAUGUACGUCACUGACAAGAAAAGGGAAGCUGGUCAGAGGUAAUUAGUCCUACCUGUUGCUAUAGUUUGAGGCAGUACCUCCACAAUUCAGGUGCUGCCAAUAUGAUGGUAUUAAGAGGUGGGGCCUUUCAGAGCUGAUAAGUCCAUGAGGGCUUGUUACGUACCUCAUGAAGGUGAUUGAGUCCCUCAUAAAAGGGCUUGGCAGAGGGAAUUCCUCCCUUUUUCCUUUCCACCUUCAGUCCUAUGAGGACACAGUGCUCCUCCCCUCUACAGGAUUUAGUGUUCAAGGCACCAUUUUGUAAGCAGACAACAAACCUGCUGGCACAUUGAUCCUACACUGCUUGGUCUCCAGAAGGGUGAGAAAUAAAUUCUUGUUCUUUAUAAAUUACCCAGUCUGUGGUAUGUUGUUAUAGCAACACAAAUGGACUAAGACAUUUAUAGAGGCUGAAUUUCCUUGUGUCUAUCUUCUAUAUAGACCGUGUAUCAUCUUUGUCUUCUUAAAGCAUGCAAGAGAGAAAUGGAUAAAUGCAACUGGGCUCUUCUAAUUACUGGGAGAUAAAUUAUAACACUUCACAUCUCUACUUCCCAAAAUCUGGUUAUCUCUUACAGGAUAAUGUUAUAUUAUGCUAAAAUCAUAAUCCUUUCCUAGAAUCACCUUUGAAAAUGCUACAUUCUUUCUUUCUUCUUAUACACCUAACAGUGUUAUAGUAAUUAUGAUAUCAUUUAUAUGGUAUCUUAAUAAUCAACUAAAUAAAUUUGCUAAUUAUUGUAAUAAAACUAAUGCAUUUGGCAGAAAGGAACAUGUUUACAUAUAAGGACUUUAAAAUUUUAAUUUCCCUGACUGACGCUUCUUUUUAAAUACAUUUAUUCCAUUCCAAUUUAUUCUACAGUUGAAAGACUAAGAUUAGUCAAAGACAAAUUUUACCAUUUCAGAGAUUUAUUCAAACAUUUCCAAAACCUCCUUUUUCCUUAAUAACCCAAAUUCCAGUCCCAAUUUGGCAUCUGAAGUGCCUAAAAAUAGCGUGUGAUUAUUCCACAGAGCCCUUGAUCAUUGCAGUCCAGAAAUCUUUAAUGAUGACAGAUGAUGAAGGCAUGAGAACCACAGGGAAACAGAAUGGCCUCUGCAUUCCCUCUCCUAAGUCUGUUUGCCUCUACAAUUAUAGCCAGGGUGCCAUUCAAAAAUUAGCUUGAACACAACCUUUAACAUGGGUGAUGUGUGAUCCCCAUCCACAACCUACCUCCUGACAUUGCCUGAUAAUUGCUAAGACUCCAUCUCAUAGGUUACAGGAGCUACAUAAAUUUAAGAUGCCAUUUCUUGAUUAUAAGGGAGGUUUUUGGUCAAAUGUAGUUAAUAGCUUCACCUUUCAAGAUGACUUUUUUCUCUCAUAGACUGAGCAACACAGCUGACCUUAUUCAUAUAAUAAAAUGCCAUCCUGUCACAUAAGCUUGCAAACAUUCCAAAACAAGCUCAUUAGCAAAUAAUGAUGCCAAAAGAGUAACUUUUUAAAUGUCAAUAAAUACAUUUUACAUCCUUCAGAUAAUCUGUGAAACGUAACAGAUAAUUACCAGAGCUAUGCCUUUCUCUGCAAAGUUUUGAAAAAUUCUGUGAAAUUUAAGUUAUAUUUAAAACGUAAAGCACAUCAAUGAUUCUUUUUCUCCCAGUAUGAAAGAUUUUUAAUGAGAUUCUAAACCUAAGUGACCUAUUUACACAAACUCAACUGCUAGAUAAUGAGAAUGAGAAGGUGGUAAAAAUUUCAGUAAUAUAACCUCUAAUUCAAACCUUAAGUAUGUCUUCAAAAUACCUCAGAAAUACUUCCUACUCAAGUCUACACACACACAUGCACACCCACACAUGCACACACAUCAUUCAAGACAGGAAUAUUGAAAAAAAAAUCACCAUUGUUAAAAUGUCAUCUAUUCUGUGUACCAUCGACCUUGAAAUGUGUGGGCGGCAAGCCACCCGGGUGCCAAGGCAAGAUACUGAAGGCACAAGCUGUUCCAGUAUAAUAAAGAAAAUAUACAAAAUAAGAAGAGUUAUAAUAGAAAUAUAGAUAUGAUUAUAUAUGAAUAUUAUUAAUCAUCAGUUUGUAGCAUUACUCUUUAUUCCAAUAUUAUAAUAAUCCUUGCUCUACAAUUAUAACCUAGGAAAAACCAGGCCAUACAGAGAUAGGAGCUGAAGGGGCAUGGUGAGAAGUGACCAGAAGAUGAGUGUGAGCCCUCUGUCAUGCCUGGAUAGGGCCACUAGAGGGCUCCUUGGUCUAGCGGUAACGCCAGUGCCUGGGAAGGCAGCCGUUACUUAGCCGACCAAGAAAGGGAGUCUCCCUCUCUCCUGGGGAGUUAGAGAAGACUCUGCUCCACCACCUCCUGUGGAAGGCCUGACAUCAGUCAGGCCCGCCCACAGCCAUCGGGAGGCCUAAAUGUCUCACUGUGAUGCUGUGCUUCAGCGGUCACGCUCCUGUUUCACUUUCAUGUUCCACCCUAUACAUCUGGUUCUGCCUUCAAGCAGUAGCAGAAUUAGUGAAAGUACUAAAAAAGCCUUUGAAAUGCAUAGAAUAAUGGCCUAAGCUGUCCUCUCCGCCUUGGCUGCCAAACAGGGAAGGGCCCCCUCUCCCGUGGACACAUGACUCACGUGACCUUAUCAAUCAUUGGAAAUGACUCACACUCCUUACCCUGCCCCUUUUGUCUUGUAUCUAAUAAAUAACGGCGAAGCCAGGCAUUCGGGGCUACUACCGGUCUCCCCGUCUUGGUGGUAGUGGUCCCCCGGGCCCAGCUGUCUUUUCUUCUAUAUCUUUGUCUUGUGUCUAUUUCUAUGAUCUCCCGUCUCUGCACACGAGGAGAAAAACCCACAGACCCUGUAGGGCUGGCCCCUACAAAAUGCUGCAUUUUGGCUACAUGAUAUGGUUUGGCUGUGUCCCCGUCCAAAUCUAUCUUGAAUUGUAGCUCCCAUAAUUCCCAUGUGUUGUGGGAGGAACCUGGUGAGAGAUAAUUGAAUCAUGGGGACAAUUUCCCCCAUACUGUUCUCGUGGGAGUGAAUAAGUCUCACGAGACCUGAUGGUGUUAUAAUGGGAAACCCCUUUCGCUUGGUUGUCAUUCUCUGUCUGCCACCAUGAUUUGAGGCCUCCCCAGCCACGUGGAACUGUGAGUCCAUUAAACCUCUUUUUCUUUAAUAAUUACUCAGUCUUGGGUGUGUCUUUAUCAGCAGCAUGAGAACAGACUAAUACACUACGUUAAUGAGGAAGUGCUAUAGUUUACUAGGGUUCAGUUUAGUUCAACAAGUUUCCUAAAUAUCCAAAAGGGGUUAAACAUGGUUCUAAGCUAUGGGUAAAUACAAAUUGCUAUAUUUUAAAAUUGCAGGCUGGGCGUAAUCCCAGCACUUUUGGAGGCCGAGGUGGGCGGAUCACGAGGUCAGGAGAUCGAGAUCAUCCUGGCUAACAUGGUGAAAACCCAUCUCUACAAAAAUUACAAAAAUAUAAAAAAUUAGUCGGGGCGUGAUGGCGGGCGCCUGUAGUCCCAGCUACUCCGAAGGCUGAGGCAGGAGAAUGGCGUGAACUCAGGAGGCGGAGCUUGCAGUGAGCCGAGAUCGUGCCACUGCAUUCCAGCCUGGGUGACAGAACAAGACUCCAUCUUAAAAAAAAAAAAAAAAAAAAAAAUUGCAAUAAGCUGGCAAAUAUAAUUGUAAAUUAGUAUAAUAAAAUGACUAUUUGAAGUCUUCAUAAAUGAGGGAAUAUUUUAGCAAUAUUUAAGAAUUAUUUGAAAUCAAUUUCCUAGGGAUGGAGAUUAAAGAAUGUAUUCCAUGAAGAAGAAACUGCAUAGUGUAGAAAGGAGGUGGUUCACGCCUGUAAUCACAGCACUUUGGGAGGCCGAGAAGGGUGGAUCACGAGGUCAGCAGUUCAAGACCAGCCUGACCAACAUAGUGAAACCCCGUCUCUACUAAAAAUACAAAAAUUAGCCGGGCGUGGUGGCAUGUGCCUGUAAUCCCAGCUACUAGGGAGGCUGAGGCAAGAGAAUCGCUUGAACCUGGGAGGCAGAGGUUGCAGUGAACCGAGAUAGCACCACUGCACUCUAGCCUGGGCGACAGAGCGAGACUCUGUCUCAAAAAAAAAAAAAAAAAAAAACCAGAAAGGAGGCAUGGAAUAAUAUACCUUUGAAGAAGAAAAAACAGUCUCUCUUAAGGCUGUAUAUUUCAAGGAUUUAAUCAUUUUAGACAAAGAUAAUGCCAAAUGACCAAAUGACCAUUAUUUGCAGAUGUUUUAAUGGUCAUAAAUGUUUUCCUAGGAUUUUGUAGAGUGAGAAAAAUAAGUUCUUGUAGUGUGGAGCAUGAUACUUAUGAAGACUAUUGGGUAUAAUUGCCAAAUAAUACACUAUUAUAUAUUUCAUCUAUUUUUAACAUAGUUUUAUAAUUUAAAAAUACAUCAAAUGUUUGGAUGUCUUCUAGGAGACAGACAGACUUGAAAUUAAUUCAAUUUUAUAAAUGAUUCCCCUAAGAUUAAUAAUAAUAAAUGACAUGUUUAAAGUAUCUAAAUUGCAAUGUUAUAGAAGCAGAACAAAGCCCUAAUGUAAUAGUAAUCCUAGUGGGCUGUAGCAGCUGAAAUGAAAUGACUUUAAGCAGAUUUGGAUGGUUAUUACCCACAUGAAAUCCCUUAAGUGACUUUUCCCCUACUCACCCUUUCUUUUAGCAACUUCCUCACACCCCGUGGCCUAGGACUCUAGACAUGUUAAGAUAUGCUAAGGGAAUCAAAGAGUAGAACAUAGUCAUAAAUGGCAAAUCAUUUGACUUUACUACAUAAAAUGAAAAACUGAAGCACACUCUGUGAAAUCUAACAAGUUAUGCAUUGUGUAAAGAUAGGCAUUAUAAAAAAAACUUUUCCUCUUUGGAACAUUUAUAAAAGAAAUGAUAUAAACAUAAAUGACGUCCAUGCAAUCAGUUUAAGAAAAAUAUUAUAAAAAUGUUCUUAUUGUCUCACAACUUUGUUAGACUUUAUAACUACCUCCAUACUAAUGAAUGUCAAUAGUCAGGUUAUAUUUCUGUUUUCAUUCAUUUUCUAGUAUACUUCAGCCUAUAAGGUACAUUAUAAGGUAAGUAUUAGGGUCUUCUCUGUUGAAAGUAUUUGUUGUGAAACUAAAAUCAGAUCCUUACCUAAUUUAUUUGGUUGCAUGUUAAUUCUUCCAUAAAUUAUAUAGUACAGGAUAAAUGUGUCAAUACUGCUUUCAUUAAAUAAUUUUAAAAUUCAUUUGCCAAUGCAAAAAACAAAGAUCUUUUUUAAAGAAAAAAAAGUUAUGCAAAGAACAAAAUCCAUUUUCCAAUAAAGAUGUUAAGACCACAGUGAGGAAACAAAAAAUAUUAAAAUUAUUUGUCAAUGAAAAUCUGGUAUUCACUAUAUUUUUCUGUUAAUAUGAAUGUCUCAGCAUCAGUUUUGUUGGCUCACAAUAUAUUCAUGCAAUUUCACAGGAUGUGGCCUACAAGUUAACUUUUAUUUUUUACCAAUGAAGAAAAGACAGAAAUCUAAUAUUAAAUAAAGAAAUUCGUACUAAUAAAACUGUGGUAAUUCAUUUUUAAAAUAUGUAUUCAUUUCUUUCUUGCACAUUUUUCCUUUCUCUAUAGUAAUAUUUCUUAUUCAUUUCUUAAAAUUACUUUUGGUAAAAAAAUUAAAGCAAGUAUUAUUCUCCAUUACACUUAUAUUGUUGUUAGAAUCUCAAUGAAUAGUUUCCUCUACUUUUCUAUUGAAUAAUUUUAUGUAAAAUUCAUACUGUUUGUGAACACAUUUCUUUUAAUUAUAUACCCAAAUAAUUUUUUCUUAAAUAUUACUGAGCUGAAAUAUUUAAAUAUUAGCUAAAAUGUACUAUUAGGGAAUGAUAUCCUCAGUUAAUGACAAGAUAUGAGCUAUGUAGCCAAUUUUAUUUCAGGUAGAAAUUAUGGAAAACCUGCUCCUACUAUAUAUUCUAUUAUGCCAUGAAAAUCUGUAUCUCUGAUAUUCAAAAUGCAUCAGUAAAAAAUCCAAUAACAAUGCAAAAUUAGAAUAGAAUCAGUAAGGUUCUUAGAAUGUGAUCAAAUUAAACUAGGGCCUAAAAGUUCAAUAUUGUCUCAUAUUCAAGAAGAAUCACCUUAAGGUAAAAGCCAGGACCUCCACAGUUGAAUAAAAGGACACAGAUCAAUGAGUUACAUGAUGACAUUAAAAGACAAUGAUAAAUCUAUGUUCAUUGCAACAAUUGGGCCUAUAUGAAACCUAAAAGUGAAUGUAAAAUAAUGUGUUUUGUUGAAAACAUUAUAAUCAGAUGUAUUUGUUGUAUUACUAACUGACCCAAAAGAUUAGCAGACCCAUUAUGAAAACCAAGUAAUGUUGGUGUUUCACCUCCAUUGAAUCUUUGAGUGCUUCUUGAGAACCCAGGUAGUGUGAUUACAUCUAAUGUUACUACAAGUGAGGCACUGUAGCUCUUAGCUCUUGGGUCUGGCUGCCAUAACUAAAUACCAUAUACUGGGGGGCUUAAACAACAGAAACUAAUUUUCUCACAUUUCUGUAGCUAGAAGUCUAAGAUCACCAUACCAGCAUAAUUGGUUUCUGGUGAGAUAAUUUUUCCUUGCUUGAGGAUGGCAGCCUUCUCUAUGUCCUUACAUAGUUGAGGAAGAGAGAUAGAAAAAGCUCUCUUACGUCUAUUCUUAUAACCCUAUACUGAGGACUCCACCCUCAUAAUUUUAUCUAAACCUAGUUAUCUCUUAAAUUCCCCAUCUCCAAAUACCAUGGCAUUGUGGGGUUAGGGCUUAACCAUAUAAAUUUGGGAGAUGGGGACACAAUUCAAUCCAUAUAACUGAUUAUAUUAAAAUGAGCAACAGAAAAAUCAUUAGCACUAUUUGAUAUAACAUCAUGAUCUGUUGCCCCUAUACUAUUGUCUUUUCAAAUAAAUGUUUACAUUGACAGUAUUCAAUCAAAGAUAACUAAGCAGGUCUGAAAAUGCACAAUAUGCCAAAAAAUGAAGAAAAGGGGCAUAAAAAUCUACAUUAUUAAAAGAUCUAUAGAUGCUCCAGUUGUUGCAGUUAGCUUAAAGAAACUUUGCGGUAUACAGAAUUUUAAGAUGAUCAAGUUUCCUGUCCCUGAUUUAUACAUACAGACUUAUGUUUUCAAAAAUUAAUCCAGGUAUAGCUAUGAAGGAGUUUUUGAAGAUACAAUCAAGGUUCUAAAUCAGUUGAUCAUAAGAUACACAGAUAAUCCUCGAUGGGACUGAUCUAAUCAGGAAAACUCUUGAAAGGGUCAAGUCUUCUCUUGGCUAAAGGUCUUGGAAGUGUCAGAAAGAUUCAAAUUUAAAAGAAAAUCAUGGGAGAAAUGAAAUUCCUUUUGCAUCAUCACUUUCAUCUAGGAUAUACUCAAAUGCAUAUGAAAUUACUUGAGCCAUAUCUAUUUUAGUAAUUUGUUGCAAAAUAUAUCAAAUGUAAAAAAGAAAAAAAUUAUAUAGUUAUUUUAGUUAUACCCAUGUCAUCACCAAAGAGAAUUUCAUAACUUACUGUUUUGGAGUUUUAUUUUUUGGUUGUUACUUAGAUUUUUCUUUUUUUUAUGUAUUUUUUGCAUUUGGGUGGUUACUUCUGUGAAUUGUUUAUUCAUAGAAUUUGCAUAUUUACCUGUGUAUAUUUCUUUUUCUUUAUUGGUUUUACAAUAUGUUUAUAUUAUAGCUAUUGAUUCUAUUUUAUAUAUUCUGAAAACAUAUUUUCCAGAUAAUAAUAUAAGCUUGUAGGGUUUUUUUUUUAUUUUCUUUCUUUACUGUAUAUUUUUAUACUGGAAUGUUGAAUUUUGAUAUAAUUAGUAAUCAAUUCUUUACUUUCAUCUUUUUUUGUCUCAUUCAGAAAGUGUUCUCCACUCUAAAAAUAAAAUGGUUUGCUCACUGUUUAAAUUAAUUUUCAUAAAUUAUAAAAUACUGUUAAAAUGAGUGAAUUAGAAUAAAGAUAAAUAUUUUCACAAACUGUACACCUCCAUGUAACCAGAAUCUGAAUAAAUAUAAGUAAGAAUAACCAACAGUCAAGAGGCCCUCCCAUUCUCCCCUCAUCAGAGUAAUCACUAUCAUUUAUCUAACACCAUAAGUUUAUCUUGCUAGUUGUUGAAUUUUAUACAAAUGGAAUCCUAUAGUAUAUAUUGUGUCAAAUCAUAAAUGCAUGCUUUUCUGCACUGUCAUUUGCACACUCAACACUACAUAUUUUGAUUUUUUUUCUUAUGGGUUUUCAUAUACUUACAAUGAGGCUGUAUCAUUUUGAUUAUAAAAUCACUAAAUACUCUUUCAAAUAAAAUCUCUACCUCAUUGGCAUAUUGUCAUGUACCCAGUGCCUAUCUAAUGAAUCCAAGUGUGUUCCAGUUGUGACUUUCAAAUUUUUCUGCUCAGCCACAGCUUUCUCACAGGUGCUUCAUGGUAGGCCAAGUGAAUGAAUUGUGGAAGACAAAUGCAUAGGUAUAGUAUGAUCCCAACACGCUGCACAAUGAUCAUCCACUGAUUUCUUGGCUUGUUUUUUAAAAUAGAUUCCAUUUUGAGAAUACUGAGAUGAUUCAGUAUAUUCAGAAAUACAACUUGGGCAAACCUUCUUGCCAGACCUUGAUCCUGGAGGUUUGCUUAAGGAUUUUGAAAUAAAAUCUGAAUGAGACGAGAGGAAGGUUAAAAAAAAAAAAAAAAAAAAAGAACCUGUGGUUAUAAAGAGAAAUUUAAGAUUAACUGCAAAUAAUUAGCAGUUUAUACUUAAUAUAGCAUUCCUAUACAUUAUGCUAUUUGUCUUAGGAAUUACUAUCAUCAAGUGAUGAAUAUAGAAAAUAAAGCUCAGCUGUUGCCUAAGUUUCUAUGAUUAGAUGUUGGUCCUAUAAAAAUUCAAACUAAGGUUUUCUCACUCUCAUUUCACUGUUUUGACUUUUCCUAAUAACAACAAAAUAUGUCAGUUAAAUUGUAUCUCUAGGGUUGAAAAUAUGAUUGUUGUGAUUUUAUGCUAUCACAGUAUAGAAUAAUGUACUAGAAUAAAGAAAUUGUGGCCAGGCACGGUGGCUCACGCCUGUAAUCCCAGCACUUUGGGAGGCCAAGGCAGGCAGAUCACGAGGUCAGGAGAUCGAGACCAUCCUGGCUAACAUGGUGAAACCUCGUCUCUACUAAAAAAAUACAAAAAAUUAGCUGGGCGUGGUGGUGGGCGCCUGUAGUCCCAGCUACUCGGGAGGCUGAGGCAGGAGAAUGGCGUGAACCCGGGAGGCAGAGUUUGCAGUGAGCCGAGAUAGCGCCACUGCAGUCCUGCCUAAGCAAAAGAGCGAGGUUCCGUCUCAAAAACAAACAAAAACAAAAGAAACUGCUCAGUUGAAGCAAUUCAAACUUAAGGGGCAGCAGCAAACUAAAAUUUGUAUUUAAUUCAAUUAUAUAUUAAAAAGUAAAAACAUAAUGGGAAAUGAUAAAGGUAGUAGCAUGCUUUAGAAAGGCAAUUGCAUUUAUAAUCCAUGGGGAGCAUGUAGAGGCCAUCUGAGGACCUCAAUAUUUCAUACAAGAGGCUAUCAAAGGUAAUCCAGGUAUCAAGGUGUUUUCUAUAUUCUUCUAAUUUAUGUUCAACAAAAUAAUCUAAAGAUCAAAACAUUAAAAUGGAAUGUAGAUUGUUAACCUUUUCAGAAAUAUGUUGUGAUUUUUUUUCUGAAUCCUCAUUCAGUCAUUAAAUUAUUUUUAUGUACUAAAAUCAGCUGUAAAAACAGAAAUGACUCUUAUUUGGAAAAUGUAUUUAGAGUAAAAUAAUCAUGGAAGAGUUUGGUUGGUUAUAAUAUACUUUACAUAAGAUUUAUAAAAGCUAAUACUUUUUACCAACUACUUACCCUGAGUAAUGUCUUGCUCUGAAUAAUAAUAGUGAACAAAUAUAAAUAAGUAUUAAUAUAGAGCUCAUAUCUUCAGAGACUUUCAUAUAUAUAGAAAGAUAUGAGAAAAAUAUAUGAAGUAUCAAGAAUGGGAUAUUAUACUGUAUAAAUAUUUUUGAUUUUAUAGGUGAAUAGUUCAGAAGACUGAAUGAUUAAUUUGUCAUAAUCUGAAAUAAAUGAGCAUACUUAAAAUUACAUUUAAGCUUUUCAUAGAAAAUACGGGUCAGAAAUAAGAAAGGAUACAUGUUCUAUGUGCAUUUCACGUGCACUAUCAUUAUGAUUUUUACAACAAUGUUAUAUAUAACAUAAAUAUAUAUAAAAUCAACGUGUUUAUGUUCCAUGUCAUUUAAUUUUUAUUUUGCCCUAUCAAGGUUUAAAUCUUAUUUGAGAAAUAUUUUAUUUGGAAGCAGUAACAAGUUUAUUGGAAUCCAAACUGAAGAUUUAUAUCUCCUCAUAUUGAAGAAA
rnacentral:lncRNA from 1 species